rnacentral:rRNA from 1 species
UACCUGCAGCUCAAGUAGUGGCCGCUAUUAUUGGGCCUAAAACGUCCGUAGCCGGUUCUAUAAAUGCCUGGGUAAAUCGUACGGCUUAACCGUACGAAUUCCGGGUAGACUGUUCAACUUGAGACCGGGAGAGGCUAGAGGUACUCCUGGGGUAGAGGUGAAAUUCUGUAAUCCUAGGGGGACCACCAGUGGCGAAGGCGUCUAGCUAGAACGGGUCUGACGGUGAGGGACGAAGCCCUGGGGAGCAAACGGGAUUAGAUACCCCGGUAGUCCAGGGUGUAAACGCUGCUCGCUUGAUGUUAGUUGGGCUCCGAGCCCAACUAGUGUCGGAGAGAAGUUGUUAAGCGAGCUGCCUGGGGAGUACGGUCGCAAGACUGAAACUUAAGGAAUUGGCGGGGGAGCACCGCAACGGGUGGAGCGUGCGGUUU